UACGAAGGGAGCUAGCGUUGUUCGGAAUCACUGGGCGUAAAGCGCACGUAGGCGGAUGUGUCAGUCAGGGGUGAAAUCCCGGAGCUCAACUUCGGAACUGCCCUUGAUACAGCACGUCUUGAGUCCGGAAGAGGUGGGUGGAAUUCCUAGUGUAGAGGUGAAAUUCGUAGAUAUUAGGAAGAACACCGGUGGCGAAGGCGGCCCACUGG
rnacentral:rRNA from 1 species